rnacentral:rRNA from 1 species
ACCGCAUGGUUCGGUGUGAAAAACUCCGGUGGUGUAAGAUGGACCCGCGUCUGAUUAGCUGGUUGGUGAGGUAACGGCUCACCAAGGCGACGAUCAGUAGCCGGCCUGAGAGGGUGAACGGCCACAUUGGGACUGAGACACGGCCCAAACUCCUACGGGAGGCAGCAGUGGGGAAUAUUGCACAAUGGGGGAAACCCUGAUGCAGCAACGCCGCGUGAGUGAAGAAGUCAUUCGUGAUGUAAAGCUCUAUCAGCAGGGAAGAAAAUGACGGUACCUGACUAAGAAGCCCCGGCUAACUACGUGCCAGCAGCCGCGGUAAUACGUAGGGGACAAGCGUUAUCCGGAUUUACUGGGUGUAAAGGGAGCGUAGACGGCGACGCAAGUCUGAAGUGAAAUGCCAGUGCUCAACACUGGAACUGCUUUGGAAACUGUGUGGCUAGAGUGCAGGAGAGGUAAGUGGAAUUCCUAGUGUAGCGGUGAAAUGCGUAGAUAUUAGGAGGAACACCAGUGGCGAAGGCGGCUUACUGGACUGUAACUGACGUUGAGGCUCGAAAGCGUGGGGAGCAAACAGGAUUAGAUACCCUGGUAGUCCACGCCGUAAACGAUGAUUACUAGGUGUCGG